UCAGACGUGGUGUAAGGUACACCCUCGCCUUCAUUAUGUACUCGAUCAUUGCGCCACGAGAUUUGGCGAGUUCCCGGGGUUCGAUUCCCCGCGUCUGAA